rnacentral:pre_miRNA from 1 species
UUAACAAAUGAUGUUAACUAUCACGUGUCAUGUUCUGAUUGAUCAAUGAAAACAACAAUUCAUUUCAUCUUUCAUGGACAUGUGACAGUUAUCAUCCAAUAAAAACGUGACACGUGAUAGUUAACAUCA